UGUGUAUAUGGAUCCUACUUUAGUUCAUUCUCUAGCAUGACUCUCUGAGAUAUGUAUGGGAUAUUUUAAAUAUGAUGAAAUGUGUAUGAAGAUUAUGAGUGGUCAAUAAAAAAUUGAUCAUUUUUUGUAAGAGGAGAGAACAUCCUAUAUGGUCUUAUAGGAUGAUGACUUAGAGAGCCUAGCCAAAGCAAGGAUGAAUAUUAGAAAGAGCUUCUAUUGAUUCAUCAACUGAGUCAUCAUCAUC
rnacentral:lncRNA from 1 species